rnacentral:lncRNA from 1 species
UGCUUGCUGCUUCCAAGAAAAGUUUGGAUGAUUCCGCCAUCCCGGGUUAUAUGUAGUAGAAUAUGGAUCAUUACCGGGUCGGGAUUGCGUUUGGGCAGCAUUUACUUGUUCUUGCACAAAUUCAGAAAAAUGUGCUGCCGAAGGGCACUCAAAAACAGUAUGAGACGGACUAGAACAGAGAGCACACACUUGUGCUUGGGGAAAGUUUGGAAGCUGUUCUUUAGACAUUAGCUGGUCCAACUUGCGGGAUAGUGCAUCUACUUUGUCAGAUAGACCUAUGGACUAGCUAACUUCAUAUAUGGUUCCUUUUCUUUGAGAACUCGGGGGUGCUUGACGAGCAGAGGAGGCAUGGUGGGGAGAAUUUUCAUUAAGGUUUUCAAACAUCUGCCAGGCCUCAUGCUCACUCUUAAGCAUGA